UACGUAGGGGGCAAGCGUUAUCCGGAUUUACUGGGUGUAAAGGGAGCGUAGACGGCAUAGUAAGUCUGAUGUGAAAGGCGGGGGCUCAACCCCUGGACUGCAUUGGAAACUAUUAAGCUGGAGUGUCGGAGAGGUAAGUGGAAUUCCUAGUGUAGCGGUGAAAUGCGUAGAUAUUAGGAGGAACACCAGUGGCGAAGGCGGCUUACUGGACGAUCACUGACGUUGAGGCUCGAAAGCGUGGGGAGCAAACAGGAUUAGAUACC
rnacentral:rRNA from 1 species